AAGACGCGAUCUCUCGGGGUCAUUGGGAAAAAAGGCAGUGAGAUACCAGAAUGGGCCAAAAGCAAAUUGCUAAAUGACCACUUCCUAUUUAAGAGGAACGCCUACCUACCCAAAUGGAGAUGCUUAACCAUGUAUAUCCUGUUAAAAAAGAACCACGUGACUCUGAGAAAUCAGUCACACCUAUUUUAAAGUUGGUGGGACAGGAGGGACUGCGGUGUGGCUGCUUCCGGGUGGAUUUUCAGUUUAUGACCGUGGGGUUGUUCUCCCACGUUCUCACUCCUGUGCCUGAUUUUGUCCUGUGAGCAAGGCUGUCAGCAGGCUGACUGGGAAGACGCCACAGGAGCCUGGUGGCCAACAGUGAAGGCUCUGGGGUCCUCGGCUGGGGACAGGCCUGGCUCCACCACAGGGGAAAAAAAGAAAAAAGAACUCCGGAGCAUACAGGUGUCCGCCACCACACAGGGGUUGCUGUGAAUCAAGCCUAGGGAAAUACCAGAAUUACACAAGAAAGAGAUUGAAAGGAUCGAUAAGAAGCAAGGCUGGAAAAGGUCCCUGGGUGGGGCAAACGGUUUGCUUUUUGCUACUAACCUAAAGGUUGGCAGCUCAAACCCACCCAGCGGCACUGCGGAAGAAAGGCCAGGUGAACGGCAAGGCUGGAUUGACUCGCAUUUUCACUGCAGGAAGGCAAGAAAGUAAAUCUUUGAUAGAUGCUUUAGCCCUGGAGAUGGCCUUGCCUUAAAAAAAAGAAAAAGAACCAAGAAAAAGAAAUUCAGCAAGUUGAGAAAAGCAUCUCCAUCCAAGCAGCUACACAGAAAGGCUGAUGAACUGAGAAGGCUCCAGCUUUGCAGAUAAAUUCCAAAGAAGAUUGACACACAGAGAUGAUCAAUAUCUGCUGCUGAGGAUGUGGCUGAAAAAGCCGACGUCUCUUCCACAGUUCAAUGGACCCUUGACCUCCACUGACUUAACUAUUCCUGAAUCUAACAUGAGGUCCCUGGUGGCACAAAUGGUUUGCACUUGGCUGCUAACCAGAAGGUUGGAGGUUCAAAUCCACCCAGUGGCACCACAAAAGAAAGGCCUG